AGCAUGAUUUGUAGCAAUACAGAUUGAUGGCGACCGGCGCACGGGUGAGUAACGCGUAUGCAACUUACCUAUCAGAGGGGGAUAGCCCGGCGAAAGUCGGAUUAAUACCCCAUAAAACAGGGGUCCCGCAUGGGAAUAUUUGUUAAAGAUUCAUCGCUGAUAGAUAGGCAUGCGUUCCAUUAGGCAGUUGGCGGGGUAACGGCCCACCAAACCGACGAUGGAUAGGGGUUCUGAGAGGAAGGUCCCCACAUUGGUACUGAGACACGGACCAAACUCC
rnacentral:rRNA from 1 species